rnacentral:rRNA from 1 species
CGAACGGCUGAGUAACACGUGGGCAACCUGCCCUCCUCUUGGGGAUAGCCUCGGGAAACCGAGGAUAAUACCCGAUACUUCAAUGUGGCCGCAUGACGACAUUGAGAAAGCUUUUGCGGAGAAGGAUGGGCCCGCGGCCUGUUAGCUUGUUGGUGGGGUAGAGGCCUACCAAGGCAAUGAUGGGUAGCUGGGUUGAGAGACCGACCAGCCAGAUUGGGACUGAGACACGGCCCAGACUCCUACGGGAGGCAGCAGAC